rnacentral:rRNA from 1 species
CGAAAGCCUGACGGAGCGACGCCGCGUGGAGGACGAAGCCCUUCGGGGUGUAAACUCCUUUCAGGGACUACCAAGCAAGGAAGGCUAAUACCCUUUUGCGUUGAGGAAUCCCAGAAGAAGCCACGGCUAACUUCGUGCCAGCAGCCGCGGUAAGACGAAGGUGGCGAGCGUUGUUCGGAAUCACUGGGCUUAAAGGGCAUGUAGGCGGCCCAUCAAGCGUGCUGUGAAAUCCCUCGGCUUAACCGAGGAAUUGCGGUGCGAACUGAUCGGGCUUGAGGCAGGUAGGGGCAAGUGGAACUCUUGGUGGAGCGGUGGAAUGCGUAGAUAUCAAGAGGAACGCCGGAGGCGAAGGCGACUUGCUGGGCCUGUCCUGACGCUGAGAUGCGAAAGCCAGGGGAGCG